rnacentral:tRNA from 1 species
GUAGGUAUCGCUCAGUGAUAGAGCACAUGCUUAGCAUGCACGAGGUCUUGGGUUCAAUCCCCAGUACAUCCA